GGUGCAAGUGUUGAAAUUGAAGGGCUGUGAUCUAUCAUAAGCAUCUCCAAUCAAACGCUGCGUGGUCAAUCGAAGGGCUGUGAUCAGCCGAGCCUAUGAGUAGAACCGGGUUCUGAAGACCUGUAUAAUUCACGACUAAAACCCAGUUUUUCACGCUCUUUCACUUAAUAGCAGCGUCCCCUGCAUAAAGCAGUCGCCGUCCGCAAGCUCCUCCAGAGGAUCGCUCCCUCGUCCACGCCCGCGACUACGACAACCGCACCUCAAUCCUCCAACCGCCGUCGAACCAAUUACCCCCAAUUUCCCUCCAAUUUCAUUUUCAAUUUCGUUGCUUUUGCAUAAUCAAAAUAUUAGUUUGUGUUUUUUUCAUUGGAAGAUUGUAUUUUGAAUGUUUGUUUCGGUUGCAGGGUCCUCUUGAACCCGAACUGUAUCUAGUCGGAACUCCGAUCAGAAACCUUGAAGUAUCUCCCACCUUCUAGUUGAAGGAUGUAAUGGUGUGCCACUAGGCAAAGCUACGUGUGGAUGAAAGCAUCCCUGUUAUUCCUGUACCUGGGCCGUCCGCUUAUGUGGUUGCUCUCUCUGCCUCUGGCCUCUUGGACCCUAGAUCACAGUGGGGAAUAACCGUGCUCGUCAAGUUUUCAAGCAUUGGAGGAGAAGAUCAUAGACGAGAGCAAUGAAAGUUUCAGGAGUUCGAGCAUACAAUGAGGCUAGCAACCGAUUAUUUAUUUAUUUAUUUUUGUUAGUUUGGAAUUUAAGUAGACAUUUAAUUUUGAGAAGAACAAAAAUUAGCACAUAUGUAUGUUAAGCAACAAUCGUCUUAAUGAUUUUAGAAUAUUUGAAUGAAUUUCAAUAAAAUUUUAACAGUAUGCUCCAAUUUAGUUGGUUUCAAAAUGAAGAAACUUGAAAGAAUAUAAAAAAUACUACUAUUGUUGAGGUUACUAGGGAGUAGAAUACUCAGAUCAGACAUUUGGUUUACACCAUGAGUCCAUCAUGAAACUUGAAAGAAUAUACUACUAUUACUAACGUGUAGAAUUCUCUUCCCUCCUAAUUCAAUCCCCUUCCUUCUUCUCUUCUCACAUUGUCUUCUGUCUUU